UACGAAGGGGGCUAGCGUUGCUCGGAAUCACUGGGCGUAAAGGGUGCGUAGGCGGGUCUUUAAGUCAGGGGUGAAAUCCUGGAGCUCAACUCCAGAACUGCCUUUGAUACUGAGGAUCUUGAGUAUGGGAGAGGUGGGUGGAACUGCGAGUGUAGAGGUGAAAUUCGUAGAUAUUCGGAAGAACACCAGUGGCGAAGGCGACACACUGGGCCAUUACUGGCGCUGAGGCGCGAAAGCGUGGGGAGCAAACAGG
rnacentral:rRNA from 1 species